rnacentral:tRNA from 1 species
GUAGUGAUGCCAGAAAAUUUAUGGGAUUGAAUUAGGAUCAAUUUAUGACAUAUAUGUCUCUCUAUU